rnacentral:lncRNA from 1 species
CCAAGUUAAUUAAUUCAAUUAUUCAUUAUAUCUCAUAUCAACUAAAUAAUUAAUUAACACACCAAAUUAAUUAAUAUAAUCAAUUAUUAUACUACCUAACAACCAAUUAAUUAGUUAACACUCCAAAUAAUUAAAAUAAAAUAUAAUAAUAAUAAUAUAAGAAAUAAUUACUAAAAUUAGGUUGUUACAACUCUCCCCCACUUAAAAGAUUUUCGGCCUUGAAAAUACCUCAAACGAACAACUCC